UACGUAGGGGGCGAGCGUUAUCCGGAAUUAUUGGGCGUAAAGAGUGCGUAGGUGGUUUUGUAAGCGUAGGGUGAAAGGCAGUAGCUCAACUACUGUUAGCCCUGCGAACUGUGAGACUUGAGUGCAGGAGAGGAAAGUGGAAUUCCUAGUGUAGCGGUGAAAUGCGUAGAUAUUAGGAGGAACACCAGUGGCGAAGGCGACUUUCUGGACUGUAACUGACACUGAGGCACGAAAGCGUGGGUAGCAAACAGG
rnacentral:rRNA from 2 species